AGUGAACGCUGGCGGUAGGCCUAACACAUGCAAGUCGAACGGCAGCACAGUAAGAGCUUGCUCUUACGGGUGGCGAGUGGCGGACGGGUGAGGAAUACAUCGGAAUCUACUUUUUCGUGGGGGAUAACGUAGGGAAACUUACGCUAAUACCGCAUACGACCUACGGGUGAAAGCAGGGGAUCUUCGGACCUUGCGCGAUUGAAUGAGCCGAUGUCGGAUUAGCUAGUUGGCGGGGUAAAGGCCCACCAAGGCGACGAUCCGUAGCUGGUCUGAGAGGAUGAUCAGCCACACUAGAACUGAGACACGGUCCAGCCUCCUACGGGAGGCAGCAGUGGGGAAUAUUGGACAAUGGGCGCAAGCCUGAUCCAGCCAUACCGCGUGGGUGAAGAAGGCCUUCGGGUUGUAAAGCCCUUUUGUUGGGAAAGAAAAGCAGCAGGUUAAUACCCCGCUGUUCUGACGGUACCCAAAGAAUAAGCACCGGCUAACUUCGUG
rnacentral:rRNA from 1 species